rfam:Opitutaceae bacterium TSB47 genomic scaffold Scaffold8, whole genome shotgun sequence.
UGCCCGGUAGCUCAGUGGCAGAGCAGGUGACUGUUAAUCACUUGGUCGCUGGUUCGACCCCAGCCCGGGCAG